UUGUUUUUUGUUUUUUUUUCCAGAAAUAUUGUUUUUUUUUUUUUUCCAGAAAUAUUGUUAAUCCUCACAAUAACUCUUUGGAGUUGGUACUUUUACCCCAUUUCACAUAUGGAAAGAUUAAAUUAAGGCCCUAAGAAAUUAAAGUAACUUGUCCAAGAUCAUUUAGCUACUGAAUGUGAGAACUGAAAUUUGAACCCAGGUCAUCUGGCUCUAUGGUCCUGUGCUGCCCUUUUAUUUUUUAUUUUAUUUGUUUAAAGAUUAUGCAUUUAUUAAUGAGAGACACACAGAGAGAGGCCAAGAGAUAGGCGGGCAGAGGGAGAAGGAGGCUCCCUGCAGGGAGUCUGAUAUGGGACUCGAUCCCAGGAUCCUGGGAUCAAACUUGGAGCCGAAGGCAGAUACUCAACCACUGAGCCACCCAGGUACCGCUGUGCUGCCCUUUUAAACUAGCUGUAUUGACUAUCCCUCAACCUAAGGCUACUCUGUUCUGGUGAAAGUUCUGGUUAAGGAGAGUGACUUGGGGAUUAGUUCUGGGUGCAUAAUGUUCCAUUACUUUUGAUAGUUUUAACAAGAUACAUCUAUUAGUGCUUGAUUGCAUAGGAACUGUACUAAGUGCUUCUUAAUUUUAGAUGGACUUAGACGUUAAAGAGUAAUUGCCUAUCUUGGAGGUAUUUAAUUAUCCACAUAAAGCUUAUCAAAAGAUAAGAAAAUACAAAUCAUGAAUACAUGUCUAUUCAUAAUUCAUAAUUCACUGCACAUGAUCAUCAUACCAACUUAUUGGUUGGGCAGGCAAGUAUCGGAAGUUUCAUUUUAUAGAUGAUGAAACUGAAGUCCAAAAAGGUUAAGACCCUUUCCAGAAAGCUCACAAAUAGUGAGCAACAGGGUUUGCACUGUAAUCCAGUUCUCCUGACUCCAAAUCCCAUGAUCUUUCCCCACUAAUAAUGUCCUUUCCUGAGAUCUGAACUUUGUUAUUACUGUGGCAACAAUACAGACCAUUAAGUGCCUAGAAACCAUGACACUGCCUUUUCUGUGUGCCACAAACUUAAAAGUUAACUGAGGUCACCUUAACCAUCAAUCCUUUUGUCAAAUUCCCUUCUUCAUGUGUUUCAUUUUAAUGUUUAUUAAGUCUAGUGCCCUUGUCACCAAAAGCUUACAAAUGAUGGGUUUCUUGGCAGAUAGGUCAGGUAUACUGUCUUUUCUACUCCAAGUGAAGUUAUUUUAGUCCUGAGUAUGAAGCAAAAGCCCGAAGGACACUAAACAGCAGCUUGGAGUGAGGCUUUUUGCCCUACCUGGGCUUCACAUUUCAUUUCCAAUGUAGUCCCUUGCUUCUGAGCGGCUCUUGUGAAGCAGGUAUUUGGCAAAGGUGAAAGGCCUUUACCUUUGGUUGGUUUGAGGCAACAAACUGUUUAGAGUAGUUUAGGUAUGGAAUAGUCUUUAUUUUAGAGGAAACAGUCAUGCCUCUGGGCUCCCUUCUUAUCCACCUAUGAAGUUAUGAGGAGUCAGACAGAUGUCUAAUCAGAUUCUAAGAAACUUGGAAUGCUAGGUCUUUAAGAUUUUGUCAGCAGGUGGCACUUAUC
rnacentral:lncRNA from 1 species